rnacentral:rRNA from 1 species
AUUGAACGCUGGCGGCAGGCCUAACACAUGCAAGUCGAACGGUAACAGGAAGAAGCUUGCUUCUUUGCUGACGAGUGGCGGACGGGUGAGUAAUGUCUGGGAAACUGCCUGCUGGAGGGGGAUAACUACUGGAAACGGUAGCUAAUACCGCAUAACGUCGCAAGACCAAAGAGGGGGACCUUCGGGCCUCUUGCCAUCGGAUGUGCCCAGAUGGGAUUAGCUAGUAGGUGGGGUAACGGCUCACCUAGGCGACGAUCCCUAGCUGGUCUGAGAGGAUGACCAGCGACACUGGAACUGAGACACGGUCCAGACUCCUACGGGAGGCAGCAGUGGGGAAUAUUGCACAAUGGGCGCAAGCCUGAUGCAGCCAUGCCGCGUGUAUGAAGAAGGCCUUCGGGUUGUAAAGUACUUUCAGCGGGGAGGAAGGGAGUAAAGUUAAUACCUUUACUCAUUGACGUUACCCGCAGAAGAAGCACCGGCUAACUCCGUG